rnacentral:rRNA from 1 species
GACGAACGCUGGCGGCGUGCUUAACACAUGCAAGUCGAACGGAAAGGCCCUGCUUUUGUGGGGUGCUCGAGUGGCGAACGGGUUAGUAACACGUGAGUAACCUGCCCUUGACUUUGGGAUAACUUCAGGAAACUGGGGCUAAUACCGGAUAGGAGCUCCUGCUGCAUGGUGGGGGUUGGAAAGUUUCGGCGGUUGGGGAUGGACUCGCGGCUUAUCAGCUUGUUGGUGGGGUAGUGGCUUACCAAGGCUUUGACGGGUAGCCGGCCUGAGAGGGUGACCGGCAACAUUGGGACUGAGAUACGGCCCAGACUCCUACGGGAGGCAGCAGUGGGGAAUAUUGCAAAAUGGGCGGAAGCCUGAUGCAGCAACGCCGCGUGCGAGAUGACGGCCUUCGGGUUGUAAACCGCUUUCGCCUGUGACGAAGCGUGAGUGACGGUAAUGGGUAAAGAAGCACCGGCUAACUACGUG